UACGUAGGGGGCAAGCGUUGUCCGGAAUCAUUGGGCGUAAAGCGCGUGUAGGCGGUCCGGUAAGUCUGCUGUGAAAGCCGGGGGCUCAACCCUCGAAUGCCGGUGGAUACUGUCGGGCUAGAGUGCGGAAGAGGCGAGUGGAAUUCCUGGUGUAGCGGUGAAAUGCGCAGAUAUCAGGAGGAACACCUAUUGCGAAGGCAGCUCGCUGGGACGUAACUGACGCUGAGACGCGAAAGCGUGGGGAGCAAACAGG
rnacentral:rRNA from 1 species